rnacentral:rRNA from 1 species
UACGUAGGGGGCAAGCGUUGUCCGGAAUUAUUGGGCGUAAAGAGCUCGUAGGCGGCCUGUUGCGUCCGCUGUGAAAGCCCGGGGCUUAACCCCGGGUCGGCAGUGGAUACGGGCAGGCUAGAGGUAGGUAGGGGAGAAUGGAAUUCCCGGUGUAGCGGUGAAAUGCGCAGAUAUCGGGAGGAACACCAAUGGCGAAGGCAGCUCGCUGGGACGGUACUGACGCUGAGACGCGAAAGCGUGGGGAGCAAACAGG